AGAAGGCGAUGGAGACCAGCCUUGGCUGGACCACUUCCACCCCAGAGGCUCUUCACCGCCUCCCCAUCCAGACCCAAGGUUCCCUAGUGGUCCAGACGGUUUCCUUGGCAGCGCUGGCACCAGAGACAAUGUUUCACCAUGUUGGCCAGGCUGGUCUCGAACUCCUGACCUCAAGUGACCCGCCCGCCUUGUCCUCGAAUAGUGCUGGGAUUACAGGUGCGACCCACCACACCCGGCUGCAAUGUUUGUUUUAAUUACUUUUGGCAAGUAUUUCCUGAGUACCCCGAGCGUGCCAGGUGAAGAGAGACGGAUAAUAACAGCGCUAGCCAGCACGUAUUAAGCCUUGCAAAGCUGCACGGGCAUGAACUUGUGGCUUCAACACAACCUUAUGAGGCCCACCACAGCUGCCAAACAUGAGGUGAUGGGACAGCCCUCGUGGCCUCCACCCACCGCCCUGGUGGAGAAGUGAAACAUGAACCCACCAGUGCAAGACAGAGGAAGAGGCACCAGCGAAGGGAAAUGUUCACUGAUGAAUUCAUGAAUGAAGGAUGAUUACUUUUUCCCCUGAUCAGGGCUUGGGCUGCUGUUUCACGUGUACCAUCUUAAGGACUGUGACACCCAAAAAAGGCUCUGCCACUUAGAUACAAAGGCAUUUCUCCUCCUCUGAGCCUCAGUUUCCUCAACUGUAAGACUAGGGUGGGGGAGAUUUAAUUCCUGACUUGCAGGGUUUGCAAAGUGAAACAAAUGCCGCCAGGCUCACAGAGGCAUGGUGAAGACUCAGGCGCCUCCGGUACUAUAAAGAGUGAAGAUGGCCUUCGGCUCCAUGAAGGGUUUCCUAAGAGGGCAGGGACAGCUCCUUGGUCCCUGACACAAUAGCACACACUAGGGCCAAGAGCAGGGUCUCAUCACCUCACUCACAAACAGUGGCUGAGGUUGACACGGGGGAUCCCUGUGUGAAUCAGAACUCCUAGGACUCUAGGUGACAGAAACUCCUCUCCAACUAGCCUAGGGGAAACUGAUAAAUGCAGGGUGAAGAAUGUGCGGGUAGGGUAUCUCCAGUAAGCCCAGGGGAAACGCGGAGAUGCAGCAGGGCCAGGGCAGCCAAGGGGCUCGCUCGCACUCUCUCUCUCUCUCUCUCCCUCUCCCCUCCCACCUUCCUUCCCUCCCUCCCUCCCUCUCUCUCUCUCUCUCCUUCCCUCUUGUCUUCUCUGGGCAGCCUGUCAGCUCCAUUCCCUCAAGUCAGCCCCCUCUAUGUAGCAGCAAACAUAGCCACCAAGAGAGAAACUGCAUUUUCUUCCUUAGCUCCUGACCAAAAAAUCCAGGGAAAGAUUCUGAUUGGCCCAGCUUAGGUCACGUGUUAACCCCCACCCAUCCCCAGACCUAUUAAUUAUGGAGUGGUGGGGCGGGUGGAGAUGUACAGCAUCGAAAUUGUAUCUGGGGCCGGGCGCAGUGGCUCAAGCCUGUAAUCCCAGCACUUUGGGAGGCCGGGGCAGGCGGAUCACGAGUUCAGGAGAUCGAGACCAGCCUGGCUAACACUGUGAAACCCCGUCUCUACUUAAAAAAAAAAAA
rnacentral:lncRNA from 10 species